UACGUAGGUGGCAAGCGUUAUCCGGAUUUAUUGGGCGUAAAGGGAACGCAGGCGGUCUUUUAAGUCAGCGGUAAAAAUUCGGGGCUCAACCCCGUCCGGCCGUUGAAACUGGGGGCCUUGAGUGGGCGAGAAGAAGGCGGAAUGCGUGGUGUAGCGGUGAAAUGCAUAGAUAUCACGCAGAACCCCGAUUGCGAAGGCAGCCUUCCGGCGCCCUACUGACGCUGAGGCACGAAAGUGCGGGGAUCGAACAGG
rnacentral:rRNA from 1 species